rnacentral:rRNA from 1 species
ACUAAGCGUACACGGUGGAUGCCCUGGCAGUCAGAGGCGAUGAAGGACGUGCUAAUCUGCGAUAAGCGUCGGUAAGGUGAUAUGAACCGUUAUAACCGGCGAUUUCCGAAUGGGGAAACCCAGUGUGUUUCGACACACUAUCAUUAACUGAAUCCAUAGGUUAAUGAGGCGAACCGGGGGAACUGAAACAUCUAAGUACCCCGAGGAAAAGAAAUCAACCGAGAUUCCCCCAGUAGCGGCGAGCGAACGGGGAGCAGCCCAGAGCCUGAAUCAGUGUGUGUGUUAGUGGAAGCGUCUGGAAAGGCGCGCGAUACAGGGUGACAGCCCCGUACACAAAAAUGCACAUGCUGUGAGCUCGAUGAGUAGGGCGGGACACGUGGUAUCCUGUCUGAAUAUGGGGGGACCAUCCUCCAAGGCUAAAUACUCCUGACUGACCGAUAGUGAACCAGUACCGUGAGGGAAAGGCGAAAAGAACCCCGGCGAGGGGAGUGAAAAAGAACCUGAAACCGUGUACGUACAAGCAGUGGGAGCACGCUUCGGCGUGUGACUGCGUACCUUUUGUAUAAUGGGUCAGCGACUUAUAUUCUGUAGCAAGGUUAACCGAAUAGGGGAGCCGAAGGGAAACCGAGUCUUAACUGGGCGUUAAGUUGCAGGGUAUAGACCCGAAACCCGGUGAUCUAGCCAUGGGCAGGUUGAAGGUUGGGUAACACUAACUGGAGGACCGAACCGACUAAUGUUGAAAAAUUAGCGGAUGACUUGUGGCUGGGGGUGAAAGGCCAAUCAAACCGGGAGAUAGCUGGUUCUCCCCGAAAGCUAUUUAGGUAGCGCCUCGUGAAUUCAUCUCCGGGGGUAGAGCACUGUUUCGGCAAGGGGGUCAUCCCGACUUACCAACCCGAUGCAAACUGCGAAUACCGGAGAAUGUUAUCACGGGAGACACACGGCGGGUGCUAACGUCCGUCGUGAAGAGGGAAACAACCCAGACCGCCAGCUAAGGUCCCAAAGUCAUGGUUAAGUGGGAAACGAUGUGGGAAGGCCCAGACAGCCAGGAUGUUGGCUUAGAAGCAGCCAUCAUUUAAAGAAAGCGUAAUAGCUCACUGGUCGAGUCGGCCUGCGCGGAAGAUGUAACGGGGCUAAACCAUGCACCGAAGCUGCGGCAGCGACACUGUGUGUUGUUGGGUAGGGGAGCGUUCUGUAAGCCUGUGAAGGUGUACUGUGAGGUAUGCUGGAGGUAUCAGAAGUGCGAAUGCUGACAUAAGUAACGAUAAAGCGGGUGAAAAGCCCGCUCGCCGGAAGACCAAGGGUUCCUGUCCAACGUUAAUCGGGGCAGGGUGAGUCGACCCCUAAGGCGAGGCCGAAAGGCGUAGUCGAUGGGAAACAGGUUAAUAUUCCUGUACUUGGUGUUACUGCGAAGGGGGGACGGAGAAGGCUAUGUUGGCCGGGCGACGGUUGUCCCGGUUUAAGCGUGUAGGCUGGUUUUCCAGGCAAAUCCGGAAAAUCAAGGCUGAGGCGUGAUGACGAGGCACUACGGUGCUGAAGCAACAAAUGCCCUGCUUCCAGGAAAAGCCUCUAAGCAUCAGGUAACAUCAAAUCGUACCCCAAACCGACACAGGUGGUCAGGUAGAGAAUACCAAGGCGCUUGAGAGAACUCGGGUGAAGGAACUAGGCAAAAUGGUGCCGUAACUUCGGGAGAAGGCACGCUGAUAUGUAGGUGAAGCGACUUGCUCGUGGAGCUGAAAUCAGUCGAAGAUACCAGCUGGCUGCAACUGUUUAUUAAAAACACAGCACUGUGCAAACACGAAAGUGGACGUAUACGGUGUGACGCCUGCCCGGUGCCGGAAGGUUAAUUGAUGGGGUUAGCGCAAGCGAAGCUCUUGAUCGAAGCCCCGGUAAACGGCGGCCGUAACUAUAACGGUCCUAAGGUAGCGAAAUUCCUUGUCGGGUAAGUUCCGACCUGCACGAAUGGCGUAAUGAUGGCCAGGCUGUCUCCACCCGAGACUCAGUGAAAUUGAACUCGCUGUGAAGAUGCAGUGUACCCGCGGCAAGACGGAAAGACCCCGUGAACCUUUACUAUAGCUUGACACUGAACAUUGAGCCUUGAUGUGUAGGAUAGGUGGGAGGCUUUGAAGUGUGGACGCCAGUCUGCAUGGAGCCGACCUUGAAAUACCACCCUUUAAUGUUUGAUGUUCUAACGUGGACCCGUGAUCCGGGUUGCGGACAGUGUCUGGUGGGUAGUUUGACUGGGGCGGUCUCCUCCUAAAGAGUAACGGAGGAGCACGAAGGUUGGCUAAUCCUGGUCGGACAUCAGGAGGUUAGUGCAAUGGCAUAAGCCAGCUUGACUGCGAGCGUGACGGCGCGAGCAGGUGCGAAAGCAGGUCAUAGUGAUCCGGUGGUUCUGAAUGGAAGGGCCAUCGCUCAACGGAUAAAAGGUACUCCGGGGAUAACAGGCUGAUACCGCCCAAGAGUUCAUAUCGACGGCGGUGUUUGGCACCUCGAUGUCGGCUCAUCACAUCCUGGGGCUGAAGUAGGUCCCAAGGGUAUGGCUGUUCGCCAUUUAAAGUGGUACGCGAGCUGGGUUUAGAACGUCGUGAGACAGUUCGGUCCCUAUCUGCCGUGGGCGCUGGAGAACUGAGGGGGGCUGCUCCUAGUACGAGAGGACCGGAGUGGACGCAUCACUGGUGUUCGGGUUGUCAUGCCAAUGGCACUGCCCGGUAGCUAAAUGCGGAAGAGAUAAGUGCUGAAAGCAUCUAAGCACGAAACUUGCCCCGAGAUGAGUUCUCCCUGACUCCUUGAGAGUCCUGAAGGAACGUUGAAGACGACGACGUUGAUAGGCCGGGUGUGUAAGCGCAGCGAUGCGUUGAGCUAACCGGUACUAAUGAACCGUGAGGCUUAACC